UCUAUCAUAUAUGUCCGUACAAAGCUCUCUAACUAGAUGGAAGAAUAAGCAGAAUGCCUGGGACAGGACGUAGAUAUGGAUUUUUCAGAUGUACGAAUUGUAGAGCACAGUGGGAAAGUGCCUAUGUGUUUUGUGUUCAGGGGACUUACAGUGAAUACUACGAACAAGAUUGCAAAAAGUGUAAUACAGCCUGUAGCCCUUACAAAGUUGAAAAGCUGAAAUGCUCGAUUUGUGGUCAGAGCGACUGCACUUGUUCCCGGUAGGAAAAAGCACAACGCCAUACCGAUCCAAACAAGCCCCACCGCAGUGAUCUUUGUCAUAAAUGUCAAAGUGGACGCCCCUGCAUGGACUAAAAUGGAGCUGUGUAAUUUCCUUUUCUGGAUACGUAGUUUUACAAUUGGAGAAGAUGAUUGGAAAUUGAAUGUAUAUUCCUAAUUUUUUUGUACCUAAAUUCACGUAUAAACUUGUUUUAUUAUAGCUUAUCUAUUUGAGUUUGUACUUUAUUCUUGAAACUUAAGUUUGUUUGUUAGCUAGGUGAAUCAUUACUUCUGUAUUGGCUAUUGUAAAUACUUACUAAUCUGUUUUUUUCUUGCUUGUAUAUAUAAGCUCAUAUGAGGAUAACGAAACCAGAGAUUGUAAUUGGAUUGGUGUCAUGGUACACCCAGCGAAUAAGCAAACGUAACUUCUUUAUUCUUUGUACCAAAUUAAUGAUGUAUAUUAUAUGUUAGUUAUACGUCCUUGUUUGUACACACGGAAAUAAAUAUGCUGAAAGAAGUAUUAUACUUCGUUUUUAAGAACCUUACUCUUGUUAUUAUUAUAGUUUUGAUUGAUUUUCUAAUAGUAAUUUAAAUUUAUUUGAAUAAAUUACAGAUUACCCCUU